UUGCUUCAGCAGCAUAUAUACUAAAAUUAGAAUGAUAUAUAGGAGAUUAGUAUGGAUCCUAAUAAGAAUAAUAUGCAAAUUUGUGACAUGUUCCAUAUUUUU